rnacentral:rRNA from 1 species
UACGUAGGGGGCAAGCGUUGUCCGGAAUCAUUGGGCGUAAAGAGCGUGUAGGCGGCCAGAUAAGUCCGCUGUGAAAACUCGAGGCUCAACCUCGAGCUGUCGGUGGAAACCGUAAGGCUAGAGUCCGGAAGAGGAGAGUGGAAUUCCUGGUGUAGCGGUGAAAUGCGCAGAUAUCAGGAAGAACACCCGUGGCGAAGGCGGCUCUCUGGGACGGUACUGACGCUGAGACGCGAAAGCGUGGGGAGCGAACAGG